AGAAUCAACGCUGGCGGCGUGCCUAACACAUGCAAGUCGAACGAGAAAGUGGUAGCAAUACCAUGAGUAAAGUGGCGCACGGGUGAGUAACACGUGACUAACCUACCCUUGAGUGGGGGAUAACUGAGGGAAACCUUAGCUAAUACCGCAUAAUACCCACGGGUCAAAGGAGCAAUUCGCUCGAGGAGGGGUCGCGGCCGAUUAGUUAGUUGGCAGGGUAAUGGCCUACCAAGACGAUGAUCGGUA
rnacentral:rRNA from 1 species